rnacentral:rRNA from 1 species
AACGAACGCUGGCGGCAUGCCUAACACAUGCAAGUCGAACGAGAUCUUCGGGUCUAGUGGCGCACGGGUGCUUAACGCGUGGGAAUCUGCCCUUGGGUUCGGAAUAACAGUUGGAAACGACUGCUAAUCCCGGAUGAUGACGAAAGUCAAAAGAUUUAUCGCCAGAGGAUGAGCCCGCGUAGGAUUAGCGAGUUGGUGUGGUAAAGGGGCACCAAGGCGACGAUCCUUAGCCGGUCUGAGAGGAUGAUCAGCCACGCGGGGACUGAGACACGGCCCAGACUCCUACGGGAGGCAGCAGUGGGGAAUAUUGGACAAUGGGCGAAAGCCUGAUCCAGCAAUGCCGCGGGAGUGAUGAAGGCCUAAGGGUUGUAAAGCUCUUUUACCCGGGAUGAUAAUGACAGUACCGGGAGAAGAAGCUCCGGCUAACUCCGUGCCAGCCGCCGCCGUAA